CCAGCAGCCGCGGUAAUUCCAGCUCCAAUAGCGUAUAUUAAAGUUGCUGCAGUUAAAAAGCUCGUAGUUGGAUCUCGGGUGCAGGCUUGCGGUCCGUCUCGCGGCGGUCACUGCUCGUCCUGGCCUCCCAGCCGGCGUACCGUCCCUUGGUGCUCUUGACUGAGUGUCUCGGGCGGCCGGAACGUUUACUUUGAAGAAAUUAGAGUGCUCAAAGCAGGCCUUGGUCGCCUGAAUAAUGGUGCAUGGAAUAAUGGAAUAGGACCUCGGUUCUAUUUUGUUGGUUUUCGGAGCUCGAGGUAAUGAUUAAUAGGGACUGACGGGGGCAUUCGUAUUGCGGCGCUAGAGGUGAAAUUCUUGGAUCGCCGUAAGACGAACUACUGCGAUAGCAUUUGCCAAGAAUGUUUUCAUUAAUCAAGAACGAAAGU
rnacentral:rRNA from 1 species